GGCAUCCCAAGGCAAAGUCAUCUGUCAAGGACAGAAUCGUCUCUAGCAAAUGACCAGAUAAAUGGAGGCAAAGCUGCCCAAACCAAUGGAUUCACACAGAAAAUCUAAACCAACUAGGAACAUGGAGUCAGUUUAGUGGCUUGUGAGGCUGCUAGCUUGACUUUCUUUAGCUCUAACCUAAUCAAGGCUGUUUGGAGAAGAGCCUUAGCACUCCCC